rnacentral:rRNA from 1 species
UACGUAGGCAGCGAGCGUUGUUCGGAAUUACUGGGCGUAAAGAGUGUGUAGGCGGUGCUCUAAGUUCGGUGUGAAAUCUCCUGGCUCAACUGGGAGGGUGCGCCGGAAACUGGAGUACUUGAGCGUGGGAGAGGAAAGCGGAAUUCCUGGUGUAGCGGUGAAAUGCGUAGAUAUCAGGAGGAACACCUGUGGUGUAGACGGCUCUCUGGACCAUAGCUGACGCUGAGACACGAAAGCGUGGGUAGCAAACAGG